rnacentral:rRNA from 1 species
UGAUCCUGGCUCAGAACGAACGCUGGCGGCAGGCCUAACACAUGCAAGUCGAGCGCACCUUCGGGUGAGCGGCGGACGGGUUAGUAACGCGUGGGAAUAUGCCCUUCUCUACGGAAUAGCCAUUGGAAACGAUGAGUAAUACCGUAUACGCCCUUCGGGGGAAAGAUUUAUCGGAGAAGGAUUAGCCCGCGUUAGAUUAGAUAGUUGGUGGGGUAAUGGCCUACCAAGUCUACGAUCUAUAGCUGGUUUUAGAGGAUGAUCAGCAACACUGGGACUGAGACACGGCCCAGACUCCUACGGGAGGCAGCAGUGGGGAAUCUUAGACAAUGGGCGCAAGCCUGAUCUAGCCAUGCCGCGUGUGUGAUGAAGGCCCUAGGGUCGUAAAGCACUUUCGCUAGGGAUGAUAAUGACAGUACCUAGUAAAGAAACCCCGGCUAACUCCGUGCCAGCAGCCGCGGUAAUACGGAGGGGGUUAGCGUUGUUCGGAAUUACUGGGCGUAAAGCGUACGUAGGCGGAUCAGAAAGUAGGGGGUGAAAUCCCGAGGCUCAACCUCGGAACUGCCUCCUAAACUCCUGGUCUUGAGUUCGAGAGAGGUGAGUGGAAUUCCAAGUGUAGAGGUGAAAUUCGUAGAUAUUUGGAGGAACACCAGUGGCGAAGGCGGCUCACUGGCUCGAUACUGACGCUGAGGUACGAAAGUGUGGGGAGCAAACAGGAUUAGAUACCCUGGUAGU